CCCGCUGAACUUAAGCAUAUCAAUAAGCGGAGGAAAAGAAACUAACAAGGAUUCCCCUAGUAACUGCGAGUGAAGCGGGAAAAGCUCAAAUUUAAAAUCUGGUAGUCUUUGGCUACCCGAGUUGUAAUCUAGAGAAGCGCUAUCCGCGCUGGACCGUGUAUAAGUCUCCUGGAAUGGAGCGUCAUAGAGGGUGAGAAUCCCGUCUUUGACACGGACUGCCAGGGCUUUGUGAUACGCUCUCAAAGAGUCGAGUUGUUUGGGAAUGCAGCUCUAAAUGGGUGGUAAGUUCCAUCUAAAGCUAAAUAUUGGCGAGAGACCGAUAGCGAACAAGUACCGUGAGGGAAAGAUGAAAAGAACUUUGGAAAGAGAGUUAAACAGUACGUGAAAUUGUUGAAAGGGAAACGCUUGAAGUCAGUCGCAUUGGCUAGGGAUCAACCUUGCUUCUGCUUGGUUUACUUCCUGGUUGAUGGGUCAGCAUCAAUUUUGAUCAGUGGAAAAAGUUCAAGGGAAUGUGGCAUCUUCGGAUGUGUUAUAGCCUUUGGACGUAUACAUUGAUUGGGAUUGAGGAACUCAGCACGCCGCAAGGCCGGGUUUUUUACCACGUUCGUGCUUAGGAUGCUGGCAUAAUGGCUUUAAUCGACCCGUCUUGAAACACGG
rnacentral:rRNA from 1 species